UACAGGGGGUGCAAGCGUUGCUCGGAAUCACUGGGCGUAAAGCGAACGCAGGCGGACCAUCAAGUCAGGGGUGAAAGCCCGAGGCUCAACCUCGGAACUGCCUUUGAAACUGGUGGUCUUGAGUACGGGAGAGGUGAGUGGAAUACCUGGUGUAGAGGUGAAAUUCGUAGAUAUCAGGAGGAACACCGGUGGCGAAAGCGGCUCACUGGCCCGAUACUGACGCUCAUGUUCGAAAGCGUGGGGAGCAAACAGG
rnacentral:rRNA from 1 species